UCUCAUAAUCUCUUUCCCUUUCUCUUCUGUGUUUCCGGCGAUUAUUGCUCUCUAAAAUUUACUUUUUCUUUUGUGCUAAUCCUUGGAAGAGUUGUUGUAUUUGAAGAUAGAAAAUCAACCCAUACAAGUUAUUUGUAUAUGCAUGCUGGAAUGAGGGGAGUUAUAGUCGGAGGGAUUUGCUUCUUCCACUUUCCCUUCUUCUUUUAUUUCCUCUCUCUUCUUCAUCAGUUUGCAUCCUCUUUAAAAAAAAAAUGGUUAACAAUGGGGUUAGUAUGGCGGCAAGCUUGAAUUGGGAGUUAGUUGGAUUCCUUGGCCACUAAAGCAACGUUGUUUAGACCACUUUGUACGACAAAGUGAGUGAAAUUGGUCGCAUUCAUCGUGGUGGAUAUUUUAUUCUUGCAAUGGUUCGCUUGCUAGAUCAACCGUACGUACUUGAGAUAAGAUUCUGCAGUAGUGGUUGUAAUUUGUCUGUCAUGAGUUUAGUUGUCAGAAUCUUGGUCGAUCAUAUUGCAUAAAUGAAUCUCGUGGAAAUUAGUGAGAGUAUGGACUUGGUUGUUGGUUGGCUUGAGCGACGACUACGUUAAUGGGGAAAUGAAGUUGUAUUUAUGUUUUAAUAUUUUGUUGGCAUCUUUCUCUAUGGCUAGAUACCCUUAUAUAUUAGACAUUUGAACUUCACAGUCCCUUCAUCUUCAGAACUAAACUUUUGGAUUGAGUCAUGUUUAAUCUCUCACGUUUCGUUAAGUGAUUAGGUUCAUCGUUUACUACCACAAUGGACAGUUGCUUUCUAUUACUAGUUUUAAGUGCUUGUGGUCAUGACACUAUCUGUUUUCUUUACAUUAUUCUAACGAAUCUCGUUCCCA